CCCUUAGAUGUUCUGGGCCGCACGCGCGCUACACUGUUCGACGCAGCGAGUCUUAACCUUGACCGAAAGGUUUGGGUAAUCUUCAGCAAAGUCGAACGUGAUGGGGAUCGAUCAUUGCAAUUAUUGAUCGUGAACGAGGAAUUCCUAGUAAGUGCAAGUCAUCAGCUUGCGUUGAUUACGUCCCUGCCCUUUGUACACACCGCCCGUCGCUACUACCGAUUGAAUGGUUUAGUGAGAUCUCUGGAUUGACGCUGGCUAGGGGGCGACCCUUGGCCAGACUGCUCGAGAAACUGCUCAAACUUGAUCAUUUAGAGGAAGUAAAAGUCGUAACA
rnacentral:rRNA from 1 species